GGCGUGAGUUCUUCUUGCUGACAAUUUAAGAUAAAGUAAAUUGAAAGUGACAUAAAGGAGCGUGUGUGUGUUAAUGUGCGUCACCAACAUUCUUUGCUGACAUCCUGAAAGGUCUCGUCUGGAUGGCCCACACCAGCAACCAUUGCAAGUCACCCCCUGCUCUUAAAGGAGGAUGGAACGGUACCAGUUACCCUAGUUGGGGAGGUGGUAGAGGUGAUGAAGAGUCACAUUAUGAGAUAUUGUCAGUAACAUUUCCUGUCUAUGGCUUCUGCAUAGACUCCUGCAGGUAUUCUGAGCAGGGAGAACAAGAGAACCACUGCCAGCUCAAGACUUCCAGGUACAGUACUGUUCUUGACAAACCUUUAAAAAUGUGUAUUGCAUGAGAAAAAGGCUAACUUUACAUUUACAUACUUAAUGUAUGCACUGAUCUCUUUGCUGUGCUUCAGGUGCAUGUAUCUGUUUUUCUCAUAUACUUAGCAUUUCAAAACACUAUUUUUUUAAAAAAUUUUGAGGAGACUAGUCAAUCAGUUUAAGUAACGGCCAACGCAAAAUUUCCCCUGAUAUUUUAACAUGCCUCUUUAGAAAACUGCACACAAUUGUAACAGAGCAAACAAAGCCAAUUCGCUUUUACAAUGAAAUAGCUUAAUGCUUUCCUUAAAGGUGGAACUUGAUUAAUUUCUUUUAUGCGGCUGAGCAGGAUGAUCCAAGAAGAAAGAUGUCAUGUAGCUACAGCGUAUUAUUAUUCAUUAUAACAAAGGCCAUGAUAAUAACAACCCAAUAAUAGAAUAUGAAUAGACUUUAGAGCAAUGACACAAUGGAAUUUACAGAAGGCAGCAAGCAGCUUUAAAGAAAACAGGACAGGGACUUCUCAUGGCAAAAAAUGAAUCUUGUUGAUGCCAGGGAAAUGAAAUAGAAACUGGCCCUGCUCUAUUCUAAUUUUACAUUUACUUGGCAGGAGAAGCUCAGAUCUAUGGAAGAACACCAUGCCCUUUCCCAAUGGAUACAGGAAGAAGUUAUUCCUAUCAGCUUGUGUUUAAUGUUAUGAAUCUGACUUACUUGUCAGCAUCAUGAUUCAUGACAGUGAACAGAGAGAGCGUGAAGCCUGCAUUUCCGUGGGGUGGGAAUAGAUUAUAGUAUUUAGACAGCUUUCAUGUCCAGUCUCAGCCAGUCUUGCUGGACAUAAAAGAAACUUCAGAAAAUUCUCCAGAUCUGCUACAGACUCAGCGAGAUCCAGGGAGAUGAAUCAUUACUUGCUGAAGGUAAGUGUCAUGAAUAUAUCAUUGACGCUUACACCAGCAACCUCAGGGAAAAAUCCUGUUCUUGUGUGGGAAUGAAAAAUGCACAUUAAUCCUAAAUAAAAUUAGAGAUAUGUGUUGAGAUUUUCUCUGU
rnacentral:lncRNA from 1 species